AUUGAACGCUGGCGGCAGGCCUAACACAUGCAAGUCGAACGAGUGGCGGACGGGUGAGUAAUGUCUGGGAAACUGCCCGAUGGAGGGGGAUAACUACUGGAAACGGUAGCUAAUACCGCAUACCAUCGGAUGUGCCCAGAUGGGAGUAGCUUGUAGGUGGGGUAACGGCUCACCUAGGCGCCGAUCCCUAGCUGGUCUGAGCGGAUGACCAGCCACAAUGGAAGUGAGACACGGUGCAGAAUCCUACGUGAGGCAGCAGUGGGGAAUAUUGCACAAUGGGCGCAAGCCGGAUGCAGCCAGGCCGCUUGUAUGAAGAAGGCCGUCGGGUUGUAAAGUACUUUCAGCGGGGAGGCGUUACCCGCAGAAGAAGCACCGGCUAACUCCGUGCCAGCAGCCGCGGUAAUAC
rnacentral:rRNA from 1 species